AGUGAACGCUGGCGGUAGGCCUAACACAUGCAAGUCGAACGGCAGCACAGUAAGAGCUUGCUCUUACGGGUGGCGAGUGGCGGACGGGUGAGGAAUACAUCGGAAUCUACUUUUUCGUGGGGGAUAACGUAGGGAAACUUACGCUAAUACCGCAUACGACCUACGGGUGAAAGCAGGGGAUCUUCGGACCUUGCGCGAUUGAAUGAGCCGAUGUCGGAUUAGCUAGUUGGCGGGGUAAAGGCCCACCAAGGCGACGAUCCGUAGCUGGUCUGAGAGGAUGAUCAGCCACACUGGAACUGAGACACGGUCCAGACUCCUACGGGAGGCAGCAGUGGGGAAUAUUGGACAAUGGGCGCAAGCCUGAUCCAGCCAUACCGCGUGGGUGAAGAAGGCCUUCGGGUUGUAAAGCCCUUUUGUUGGGAAAGAAAAGCAGCAGGUUAAUACCCCGCUGUUCUGACGGUACCCAAAGAGGAAGCACCGGCUAACUUCGU
rnacentral:rRNA from 1 species